GGGGUGGUGAGAAAUCAGGGGAGGACAGAUAAAUUUGCAUGUCACCAGGAGAGAGCGGUAUCUCGUAGACAGAGAUUACGGAGGAUGAGAAGAAGCUGUUGAUGAUUAACAGUGUCAAAAGCAGCAGAAAGGUGGAGGAGAAUUAGGAGAGGGUAGUGGCCAUGGGAUUUUGCAGUGAUAAGAUCAGCUGUUUCAACAGAGUGACGAGUGCGGAUUCCAG